rnacentral:rRNA from 1 species
GGCUCAGAACGAACGCUGGCGGCGUGCUUAACACAUGCAAGUCGAACGAACCUUCGGGUUAGUGGCGGACGGGUGAGUAACGCGUGAGAAUCUGCCCUCAGGAGGGGGAUAACGGUUGGAAACGACCGCUAAUACCCCAUAUGCCGAGAGGUGAAAAGAAAUUCGCCUGAGGAUGAGCUCGCGUCUGAUUAGCUAGUUGGUGUGGUAAUGGCGCACCAAGGCUUCGAUCAGUAGCUGGUCUGAGAGGACGAACAGCCACACUGGAACUGAGACACGGACCAGACUCCUACGGGAGUCCGCAGUGGGG